ACACAUGCAAGUCGAGGGGCAGCAUGGUCUUAGCUUGCUAAGGCCGAUGGCGACCGGCGCACGGGUGAGUAACACGUAUCCAACCUGCCGUCUACUCUUGGACAGCCUUCUGAAAGGAAGAUUAAUACAAGAUGGCAUCAUGAGUCCGCAUGUUCACAUGAUUAAAGGUAUUCCGGUAGACGAUGGGGAUGCGUUCCAUUAGAUAGUAGGCGGGGUAACGGCCCACCUAGUCUUCGAUGGAUAGGGGUUCUGAGAGGAAGGUCCCCCACAUUGGAACUGAGACACGGUCCAAACUCCUACGGGAGGCAGCAGUGAGGAAUAUUGGUCAAUGGGCGAGAGCCUGAACCAGCCAAGUAGCGUGAAGGAUGACUGCCCUAUGGGUUGUAAACUUCUUUUAUAAAGGAAUAAAGUCGGGUAUGUAUACCCGUUUGCAUGUACUUUAUGAAUAAGGAUCGGCUAACUCCGUGCCAGCAGCCGCGGUAAUACGGAGGAUCCGAGCGUUAUCCGGAUUUAUUGGGUUUAAAGGGAGCGUAGAUGGAUGUUUAAGUCAGUUGUGAAAGUUUGCGGCUCAACCGUAAAAUUGCAGUUGAUACUGGAUAUCUUGAGUGCAGUUGAGGCAGGCGGAAUUCGUGGUGUAGCGGUGAAAUGCUUAGAUAUCACGAAGAACUCCGAUUGCGAAGGCAGCCUGCUAAGCUGCAACUGACAUUGAGGCUCGAAAGUGUGGGUAUCAAACAGGAUUAGAUACCCUGGUAGUCCACACGGUAAACGAUGAAUACUCGCUGUUUGCGAUAUACUGCAAGCGGCCAAGCGAAAGCGUUAAGUAUUCCACCUGGGGAGUACGCCGGCAACGGUGAAACUCAAAGGAAUUGACGGGGGCCCGCACAAGCGGAGGAACAUGUGGUUUAAUUCGAUGAUACGCGAGGAACCUUACCCGGGCUUAAA
rnacentral:rRNA from 1 species